UGGCAUCUCAGGCAUUCUCCGUCAACUCCUUCCUCGUUGCUCUCGUUGCAGCACUCUUCUUCGCCGUCGCCACCGCUCAAGAUCUGUCUCCGGCGCCGGCUCCCGGACCCGAUGCCGGAGCCGCCGGAUCCGUUUCAAGCUCCGUGGCCGUGAUUGGAGCUUCGAUUGUGCUUUCGAUGUUUGCCAUAUUCAAGCACUGAAUCCAGCUGAUCUGAUGAAUCGAUCGAGUAUAUUAAUUUUGUUGUGAAUUUGGUGUGAACAAUAUUUAUUAUACUUUAUAGGAUAUGAUGAUUGUGAUGAGUUGAGUUGAUCUAUGUCUUAUGCAGAGUAAGAGAGAAAGAAAAAGAGAGAUUAUAAUAUAAUUAAUCAUUUAUUGUAGGUGUUAGUGAGAAAUAAGAGGAUUUUUAUAUCCUUGUUAUUAUUAUUUUUUAAUUUCGCUAUGUAUUAUUUUAUUAAUAUAAAUAUUUAUCAGUAUCCUUAUCAUUCAUUGUUUUAUUUAUUCUGUUUACUUUCCUUCAAUUUUACAAGUUAACAUUUAUUCUUUCCCUAAAAGCUUGUGAUUAUUGUGCAUGAAUGUCAAUAUUUUUUGGUGAAAAUAAUAAUUGUAAUCUCUUAAAUGUUUAAAAAACUUAUUUAGUGUCUCUUAUUAAAAUAUAUUUUGAAAUUUUUAAUAUAAUUUACAAAUAAGCUAGGAAUAAUCACGAAGUCAUGAAUUAUCGGAAGAGAACUCUAUCGUCUUUUUGUUUGGAUUGAUGCGAACUUGUUUGAAUUAUCAUUUUGUUCGGAUUGAUGUGAAAUUGUUAAUCUGUAUAUAAAAAUAAAAAUUUAUUCUCGAACAGAAUCGAAAUAUGUUAUUACCAAUUUGUUGUAGAACGGAAUCAAGAUUUCAUACAUAGUCAUAUAACGGAACAGAAUCGAAAUAUGUUACUACCAAUAUGUUGUAGAACGGAAUCAAAAUCAGAUUUCGUGCAUAGUCAUAUAGCAUAUAACGGUACUGUAGUUAUAUUAUUUUAUAUUUUUUAUUAUUAUUAUUUUUAUUAUGAUGAUGUUAUUAUUAUUAAUAAUAAUAUUACUAUUAUUUUAAAUAUUUAAAUUAUUACUAAUAUUUUAAAAUUAAUAUUAUUAUUAUCAAUACUAUUAUAUUAAUAAUAAUAAUAUUAAAUUAUUAAAAACAAUAAGAUUAAAAUUAAGAAUAAUAACAACAUUAAUAGUAAUAAAAAUAAAAAUAAUAUUAAAAAAUAUUGUUAUUACUAAUUUAAUAUUAAUAAUUUUAAUAAUUAGUAUUAAUAUUAUUAUUAUUAAUAUCAAUUCUAUUAUUAUGAAUUUAUAUUAAUAUUAAUAUUUUUAAUAUUAUUAUCAUUAAUAUUAUAAUUAAAAUUAUUAUUAUUUAUAUUAUUAAUUUUAAUAUAAUAAUAAUAUUAAUAUAAUAAAAACAAUAUAAAUAUAAUAAUAAUAAUAAAAAGUAUUAAUAUAUUAAAAACAAUAUUAAUAAUAAUAUUAAUACUAAUAAUAAUAAUAUUAAUAAGAAUAAUAUAUUAUUAUCAUAUUUUUAAUAAUAAUAAUAAUAUUAUUAAAAACUUACAUACGGAAAAAAUUUCAUAUAUAACAUUUGCAGUAUUAAAAAUUUACAUAUAUAUAACAUUAGUAGUAUUAAAAAUUUACAUACGGAAACCUUUUACAUUACAUACUGACUAUUAUGUAUAUAAUGUUACAUUUAGGAAAAAAUUCAUAUAUAACAUUUUAUAAUAAAACUAUUAUUAUUAAUAUUAAUAUUAAUAAUAUUAUUAUCAUAUUAUUAUUAAUGAUAUUAAUAAUAUUAGUCGUAAUAGUAAUAAUGAUUAUAAUAAUAUAAAAAAAUAUAUUUAUAAAAUAUAUUGGUUAUGAAAUAAUCGAUAUGCAAUAAUUAGGUGUAUUAUCUAAUAUAAUAUGUAUGUAAUGUUAAAUUUAUUGAUGGAUAAAAAUAUGUAGAUAAUACAUGUUCAAUUUAUAUUAGGUGUAUUGCCUUCAAGUGCAUAUGUUGUAAUUCUGAAAUGAUAAAUGGUGUGUUAUUACUUCUUUAGCAAAUAUUGUAGUAUUAUCUGAUGGUGCUAGUAUUUUGGAUAAAGUCUCUCAAUUUUGGACAAGCGGUGAUUGAAAUAUUUUAUUGUCUUUACAGCAUAUGCCUCAUCUUUUUAGUCAUAUCAUGGUUGGGGCGGAACAAGAUAUUCCUAAUUGGAUUCUAGAUGAGUAUGAUUGUCUCACUCUUAAAUCGGCUAGAACUUUUUUCUUGGAUCCAAGAGUUCCCUGUGGUUGAGGUAAAUUUAUUUGGUCUUCAUAUAUUACGCCUUCCAAAACUCUUGUCCUUUGGAUAGUUUUUCAUGGACAACUUCCUACAUAUCAACAUAUUCAAAAUAAAGGUCUGCAUAUUUUUUCUAUAUGUACGCUUUGUGAAAAGUACGAGGAAUUUAUUCAACAUUUAUUUUUUGAAUGUUCUAAUGCUUUGCAUAUUUGGAAAGUUCGACACAUUUUUCCUACUUCUCAUUUCUCUAAUAAGGAUGAUCUUCUUUCUUUUAUUAAGAGUGAUGGUAGUCCUUUGGUUAAAUUGAUUAAGCUUGUUGUGAUAAAUUUUUCUAUUUGGAUGUUAUGCGUAUGAGGAAUUAUGCUCGUUUUCAAGAUAAGAUUGAAAUUUCUAUGACUAUUUUGGUUAUUAAAGAUUUAACUUGUCUAAUGGGUAAUUCGUCUAAAGCUUCAAUGAAGAAUGAUAUGUUCGAUUUCAACGUGCUCAAGUUUUUUUGUAUUAACACUCGUAUUGGUCAAUUUCUACGUUCUCUUCCUGUUAGAUGAGAGUUUCCUUCACCAGGCUGGGUUAAAAUUAACACUGAUGGGGCUGCGAGGGGAUAUCCUGAUUUUGCUACUUGUGGAGGUAUUUUUCAUGGGAGUAUGAGAUAAUUUAUUGGAGUUUUUUCUGCGUUUCAUGAAGUUCAAACUGCUCUGGUUGCUGAGUUUUAUAGGGUUAUACAUGCUAUGGAGGAAGCUAAAAAUUUAAUGUCUGGUUGGAAUGUGAUUAUGCUUUGGUUUGUGCUGUGUUUAUUGCUAGGACAAAUGUUUCUUGGAUGCUUCCUAAUCGAUGAAAUACUUGUCUUAAUUACUGCGAGAAAAUUAGGUUUAGGGUUACUCAUAUUUUUCGUGAAGGGAAUGCGUGUGUUGAUAAGUUGGCUAAUUUAGGAAUUAUUCAUAAAUAAUAUUUUCAUUGGUAUAAUAGGCUUGCAUCUAGUCUGUUCUUAUAACUUUUUAUGAAUAGGUAUAAUCUACUUGUGUAUCGUUUUUGCUAACAUAUGAGUUUUGGUCUAAUCCCCCAUAUUUUUGUAUUUUUUUUCCUUUUUUUUAAUAAUAUUUGUUUCAUGUGAUGACAAAUGAUUGUUGUUACUUGAGGUGUCAGCCUAGCUGAGAUCUCAAUUUGCAUAGUGAUGCCUAACAUGAAAGUUUUUAUUUAAAAAGUAUCAUAAUAUAAUAUUUAAAUAUAGUUUAAGUCCUUACAUACUUUGUCACAAUUUUUUAAUACCAUCUCAUAUUCAACAUAUUACCAUCAUCGACUAAAUGAGAUUGAUGUGAUUUGAUUUUAGAUGGUUUCAUUUUAGAGGUGACACUUUACUUAUGAUUGAGAUUUUAGCAAUAAUAUGGUGAGACCUAUAGAAAAUUCCUAUUGGACACGAACUUAACCAAGUGGUUAAGUAAGUGUGAAGGUUCACUUCCAAAGGCAAAAAGGAAAAUCACAUAAUAGGGUGAACAUGAUGUAUGGUGCGGAAUGCAAAAGACAUGAAAGGAAACACAAGAUAUGGAAGGAAACCGAAAUGGAAAUGAAGCAAAACAAGAAAUACCAACACAAAGAUAAAGGUGUAAUGGAAAAUAGAAGAAAGGAUGAAGGAAAGAAAGCUUAUGGUGAUGAAAAGAGAGUGAACACGCUGCUUGGAGUGUGGUUUCCUCCAAGAUGAGUGUAGAGGGCCGUCACAUGAGAGCUCUCAAACUCACUCAAGAUAAGACCUAUUGCUAGAGCAACAAUCCUCACACAAUUUGUGCAGAGUUUUCCUUUUUCUAUAUAAUUCAACUUGAAAAUACAUAGAGUAAGGCACCCUAUUUAUAGGAAUGGAUGCCUUGGAAAACAAGAUGAGCAAGGAUAGGAUGAUAAAUGUGUUAGAGGGUUGUCUUUAGGGUUUGACCAAGUCAAAAUCGCACCCUAUGCUUGUCAUUCUAGAAACUAGGUCAAAUUUCCUUCCUAAAAGGCUAAGCAUAAGCUAAAAUGAUAACUACACCCCCAAUUAUGUUAUAGGCACCUAUUCUAGCUUAUCUUGCUAUUUUGGACCCCCGAAGUGAGCCCAAUUUAUUUACAUAACUUUUCUUUUGUGGAAAAGACCAGAAAGAAGAAUUUAUGAUAUUCUGGUUUAUAGCUUCCUCUUCUUCUGCGGAUACUUUCUCGAGGUUUGGUGGACUGACUUUGUAUAUUGAGAUGAAUGACCUUUUUGUGAAGUGUUUGAUGUGUCCUUAGUCAUCUGCUAGUUGUUUUAGUUUGUAUCAUUCUUGAAUUUCAAAAUCUUCAUUUGCAUUUCUUAUAGUCAUAUUGUUGGUCAUAUUGACCCCUAUUAUGUUGUCAUGCACAGUUUAUGUUGAUCAUGUAUAACUUUUCCAAAAAUCUCUAAUUAAGGAGAUAUACCACGUUGUAGUUUAGUCUCGCUCUUCAAAAUCAAAUCAAAUCCUACAUGCAAAAGAGUAUAAGUUAUAAAAAGAACACAAGGUAGACAUGUUAUUGCUAUUUCAUUUUUAAAUUAUUUAAUAAUAUGAUGUGACCAAUUAAUCACAAUAUCAUAAAGAUAUUGUACUACAGAAACUACCUAUAAUUACUAUUACAAGAACUUAAAAUAUAAAUAUAAUGUAAUCGUGUGUCGUUAAACUUCAAAACAUUUGCGAAGCUUCAAUAUUAACAUUUCAUCCAAAUUAUUAUCUUGGUAUUUAUGGAUUUUUAUUAAAUUAGACUUAUAUCCAUCGUAACUCAAAUUUGUGACAUAAAGUGAUAUUUUUUUUUUGAAUUUUUUUUUAAAUAAUUUAAAUAUUGGAUAACCAUUUGUAAAUGCGACGGUCAAAACCUCUCGAAAGACUUAAUGAUACCGACCAUAAAAAAUAAAUACUAAAUAAAUUAAUUAUUUACAUAUAUAAGAUAACUUUCACACAGAUGGUGGUGGAGAAUGUGCACAAGUCAGCAGACACCGCCACCAUUCCUUUUCACCACGUAGUGAAACGACGUCAUCGCUCUUUUUCUGAAUUCGUGGAUGAAGCAAGAUGGUGGUAGAAUGGGUCUGCCACUAAUAGAUUAUGGACACAUAAUAUGCAGAAAUGGUGGUUCAAAGAAGUAGAAAAUAAAAUCAUAUUAAUCUUGCUAUAGAGAAAGAAAUUAGCUCUAAGAGUUCUGAAUAUUUGGUGUAAAGAUAUAUAAAAAAUAGAGAUGAUUUGAAUAAUUAUAUACAUUUCAAGAAAAAGUAUUAUUGACCAAGUUUGAUAAAGUGAGAGAAGUUUAUUUGGAAAGAAGUGAAAUCAAAAUAUUCCAUGAAACACUCACUCAAAGAUCACAAUGAAUCAUGUGACGAUUAUGUAAACCUUUUUCUAGAAUUGCAACACACACCAAGCUGAUUAUGCAGUAUGUGUAAUGAUGAUGCAUAUGAUAGAAUGUGUUCAUUGUUAAGUUGUGAACAAAUAAUGCAUAUAAACGUAAGUAUAGUGAUAAUUUAUUUAAAUUAAUAAAUGUUUUUACUAUUUGCCACCAAUUUAUCCAUUGAAAAAUUAUUUUAGUUUAAAUAAAAAUCUAACCCAUUAGUGAUCGAACACAAUCUGCUGCUAUAUACUUUUUAUUUGCAACCAAAAAUUACUUUAAAAGUAAUAAAAUUCCGACUCAUGACUGAAACAUAAGUUGUUAAUUAUAUACUUUUAUAUUUACAAGUGAGAAAAAUUACCAUUUUUCAAUCAUCAAAUUGAUCUCAUAUAUUUAGAAGUGACAAAAUUUUAGCAACUACUUAUUAAUCAAAAUUUUAAUGACUAAUUAGUAAUCAAAAUUCUAAACCCUAAACUCUAUUUAACGAACGAGUGAAUUAGAAAUUAGUCACUAACUGCUUUACAACAAGUUAUUAUGUAUUUUUUUGUCUUCUAAUAACUCAUUCUUACGUGCAAAGAGUAUCACAUAGUGUCAAAUUUCAACUACAAACAUCAGAAAAAAGAAACAUAUAACUUACAAAACGAGUUUCCAACUCCUCAUAAAAGUGUUCUAUCGUCCUCUUUAAAUUGAUUGUUGUUUUAAUCUAAAUUUUGAUUUACGUUGUUCCAAUGCACCAUUUAAUCAAACUACAUAGAUAUUCAAAAGUCUUGGGCUUUCUUUCCUUCAUUACUAAAGGAUUGAAUUUCAAUAAAACUCAAUUUCAACAACUUAUAAGUUCAACUACUACUUUGAUAUAUUUUUCCAAAAUUAAUAAAUAUCUAUUUAAUAAUAACCCUGUGGAACAUGCAUGGCUCACAAAAAGUACCACACGUUUUCCAACUAAUCAACCUUUUCCUUAAUCAUUCAACUCAUGGGUUGGAACAAUUCCAAACAUAACCAAACAUCAAACAACAAAAAAAACCAAACUUCCAAACAAAACCUUCUCACAACUCACUGCCACUCGUUUCCACCACACAUCUUCCUCAUCAUCCACCUGUUCCACGUUUUCGUGGGGCCCACACGCGUUUUCACAACCCUAUAAAUACCACCACCCUCUCUUCUCUCUUUCAUAACAGAAUCAAAAGAAAAAAAACCUCACAACACCUUCAACCCUUCUUUCUUCGUUCUCUUUCUCUCUACGCUUUUCCGAGUCAUGGCAUCUCAGGCAUUCUCCGUCAACUCCUUCCUCGUCGCUCUCGUUGCAGCACUCUUCUUCGCCGUCGCCACCGCUCAAGAUCUGUCUCCGGCGCCGGCUCCCGGACCCGAUGCCGGAGCCGCCGGAUCCGUUUCAAGCUCCGUGGCCGUGAUCGGAGCUUCGAUUGUGCUUUCAAUGUUUGCCAUAUUCAAGCACUGAAUCCAGCUACUGUGAUGAAUCGAUUGAGUAUAUUAAUUUUGUUGUGAAUUUGGUGUGAACAAUAUUUAUUAUACUUUAUAGGAUAUGAUGAUUGUGAUGAGUUGAGUUGAUCUAUGUCUUAUGAUACAGAGUAAGAGAGAAAGAAAAAGAGAGAUUAUAAUAUGAUUAAUCAUUUAUUGUAGGUGUUAGUGAGAAAUAAGAG
rnacentral:lncRNA from 1 species